rnacentral:lncRNA from 1 species
CAGGAUCAGCUGAAAUGCUUUCUUCCUGGGCACCACUAGCCAAGAGGAGGCUGAGGCCCUGCCACGGGGCCGCGCACUGGCGUUUUCCCACGGUCUGCAUGGCAUAACGUGACAGGUGCCCUGCCCACGAACCCGACUUCAGAUGCACUGAGGAGCUGCGACUGCAGUCUGAGGACACUGAGCUGCUGAACACGCGCCCCCCUCACAGACUGGACUUCCACAGCUGCGCUGCUCAGGGCAGGGCCCAGGCCUCUAACUUCCGUGUCCCCUUCCAUGACGCGAGAUAAUGUGGGACCCCACCUUCAGGUGCGACAUCCAAGGCCGCCCUCGGCAGCUCUGGGCUCUCUGGGCUCGCCCGGUCCGCCUCACUGUCCGUCACCCGGGCCCUCUGAGGGAACUCAGCCAGGCAGUGGUCAGCCACCAGGAUGCCAAGACCUCUGCACUGUCCCCGCCCAGUGAAGCACCGGCUCGUCCCACUCCCAUUUGCUCUCUGCCCUUGUCUGCUUCCAUCCUCCCAAUAUACCAGCACCGGCCUCAUCUUCAUGAAGGUGAUGAUGAUGAUGAAGAGGGACAGGAGGAGCAGGAGGAGGAGAAGGAGCAGAAGGAGCAGGAGGAGGAGGAGCAGAAGCAGGAGGAGGAGCAGGAGGAGGAGGAGCAGAAGCAGGAGGAGAAGCAGGAGGAGGAGGAGCAGGAGCAGGAGCAGGAGGAGGAGCAGGAGGAGGAGCAAGAGGAGGAGCAGGAGGAGGAGGAGCAGCAGGUAGAGGAGCAGGUGGAGGAGCAGGAGCAGGAGCAGGAGCAGGAGGAGCAGGAGGAAAGCCAGCAUUGGAAACUACAGCACAACCCGCCACCCCUUCCCAUGGCCUUCUGUGAACCGCUCCAGACCAAGCACAGAGCCCGUGGCCGGUCCACGGAUGCUCUGCACCCUCCUGGCCUCUGUCAGCACCAUCUCGGUGCCGCCGCUCAUCCUUUCCUGCCACCCUGCCCUCGCCCUUCAUCCCUGCACAGAGCUCCUGCUUCCCAGCAUCCGUUUUCUCCUAAGCACCAUCCAGCUGGAUGCAAGCCCACUCCUGCAUGUGGCUCCUACACUAGACACCCGCAAUUCUGAAGGUCAGUUAGACUUCAAAUUCAUUAAAGAUCCAGGG